UACGGGGGGGGCAAGCGUUGUUCGGAAUUACUGGGCGUAAAGGCUCGUAGGUGGCCAACUAAGUCAGACGUGAAAUCCCUCAGCUUAACUGGGGAACUGCGUCUGAUACUGGAUGGCUUGAGUUUGGGAGAGGGACGCGGAAUUCCAGGUGUAGCGGUGAAAUGCGUAGAUAUCUGGAGGAACACCGGUGGCGAAGGCGGCGUCCUGGACCAACACUGACACUGAUGAGCGAAAGCCAGGGAGCAAACGGG
rnacentral:rRNA from 1 species